GGAAGAGGUGCUCACUUGAGGCUGGGAAAUCACUUUGUCCCCUACCCAAUCCCCACGAGCUCGACCACGGGAUGGCACUGUCUCCACUUUAGGGAAGAGGAGGCUGCAGGUCCCAACAGCUGUUGUCCAGGAAUCCUGAGCCCACCUUCUGGAUCCCAUCUUCAGAUGGUACUCGCAUGCCCUCCACAUGCCACUGGCCCCCAGGAGGAGACUAUAGAGCUGGUCUAGGCUUAGCCUCAGCCUAAAACAAGACAAGGUACAAGCAUAUGGGGCCACCUCCUUCCUCAGAAAACUUAAAAAUACAACUACCCAUAUGAUGUAGCAGUCCCACUUCUGGGUGUAUAUCCAAAGGAAAUGAAAUCACUAUGUCGAAGAGAUACCUGCACCUCCAUGAUCAAUGAAGCUUUAUUCACAUCAGCCAAGACCUGGAAACAACCUAAGUGUCCACUGACAGAUGAAUGGACAGAGAAGAUGUGGUAUAUACACACAAUGGAAUGUUAUUCAACCAUAA